rnacentral:lncRNA from 1 species
AAAGGAGUCUGUUUUAUUACAUUCUGGUUUAUUCCUGGAACUCCUGGAAUUCCUGUUUUGGUUUCCUGGUGAACCUAAUGUUAUUUUAUUUAUCACAACAUAUGAAUAAAUGAAGAAGGGGAUUCUUGUUCCAAGAACUUCAAGUUCAAGCAUUCCAUUUUCACCUUCAACCUACAAAGGAAAUCUCCAAUAGCACUUUUAAACAAGAGGAAUAAUAAAAAUUGUGGUGGGUUAGAAAAUGGUUCAAUGGUGAAGAAAUGAGGUUUGUUAAACAGGAUGGAACUUGAUGAUGGAUCAUAAGAGAAACUUCAAAAGGAAAUGCAACUUUACUAGGAGACAGAAAGCAAAACAGUACCAUGUUGAUGACCAGUGAACAUCUGAACUGGAAAAACAAAAAUAAGAACAGGAAAUGAAAAAGAAACUGAAAGAGCCACUAAUACUGUGUAUGUCAACAGAGGGAAAAUCGAUCUGCAGCAUAAUUCACCAAAUGAGCAAAGCCAGGACCUAGAAAAGCUAAAAUGGAACAACGAAUCUAUCCCUUCUCAUUUUGGGGAAGAUUCUCCUGCAGCUAUGUUCUGAAUUCUUUUACUGCCAAAACUCAUGUCCUCUGGUUGUCUGGCUGGGAGACUCCUCCUUCCAUCUGAACUAUGGAAGACCUUUGGUGGUUCUUAUAACCACUGUAGGAACCAUCCUUUAGUACAGGUUUUCCCUCAAAAGUAGUGAUCUCCUGAGGAAGGGGCUGCAUAUGGAUGAACAGAUGUCUCUUCAGGGAAUUCAGUCCAUUUUGGCUCUGAGCCUCCACUGGGGAUGGUCUGGUCCAAAUCUCCUCCCUGUAUUUGAUUUAUGUUAGCUGCUCAACUGUUCUGUCUCUAGAAAGGUGGUAUCUCCUUUUUGCCCUCCUACCCCUCUACCCUCUCUCUAGAGGGCAUCGUAUCUGCUUCCAUCCCUGAACCUGCUUCACUGGGGAAAAGUGAAUAUAUACAUAUUAAUUAAGUAUUCCUAUAUAUUAUAUAUCAUAUAGGGAACACUUGUAUGUGGUGUAAUGUAUAUUUAUAUAAAUACAUAUAUAUACAUAUAGAUACUUGUAUACACUAUAUUAUAUAGCAUACACAUAUUAUAAAUUAUAUACAUACACAAUAAUUUUGGAAUGCUAUAUAUAUGCAUAUAUAUAUAUAUACAUAAAUAUCUGCAUAUAUGCAGUCAUCUAUGUAUAUAACACUUUUGAAGUAUUUCAAAAUAAUUGUGAGAGGCAACACACAUAGUUGAUAGAGUCAGUCUUAGUGUGACGUUGGGCUUAAUCACUUCUGGUAAAGUUUUUUUUUUUGGAUUGAAAACUGGUUAAAAGUUGCCCCUAGCAAAGAGUGUUUCUUCACCUGCAGUGCCCUACAACUGAUAAAAUCAUGAUCCAGGGUGGGAAAAAAUCAAUUAAAUCACCACAUGUAAAUUCUAACAAAUAUCAUCAUGAAACAUAUUCCUAAAAGGGGUGUGAAUAUGUGAUUAAUAUAUCUGGGUUCAAAUUUUUUUUUGAUAUUUGUAUUGUCCUGGACCAGUCAUUUGGUCUUUUUUUCAACCUCAGUUUUCUUAUCUAUAAUCUAUAGGGAUGGAAGACACCUCAAGUUGUGAGGGAAAUUCUUUAUAAAAUUUAAAGCACAACCUAAAGGUGAAUUGUUAUCAUCUGUGCUUCAAUAAAGUGACUUUAUGGAUUAGUGAGUUUAAGUUACAUGAAUUAACAUGCAUACCACAGUUUUACAUAGACAUACACACACAUGAAUGUUUUCCCACAUAUGUAAUUUAUACACACAUGUGAUCUAUUCCACUUAAAAGGUAUUUUACUUCAUAUUUACAUGGUAGGUCAGCCAAUGGCUAUUAAUUAUACUAUAAUAUUUUGUGCUUAAAUAUACUUUUAGGACGUUUAUCAAAUCUUAGUUACAGAUCCCUAUCUUCUAACUUCUUAUAGACUUAAUGGUGCUAGUUAAAUAAUUUUAAGUUAUAUGUUCUUUUCCAGGACUAUAUAUCCUAUUUAGCUUCACAUCUAUAUUCACUUUGGCAAAUACUGUUGGUUAGUAACAUCAACAGAAACAUGGAAACAGCUUCUAAGACUUUAAAUUAAGGAGAAAUUAGUUAUAUGCAUUGAUUGAUGCAGUUUCUAUAAUGGGAGUAACUAAUGAAAUCAUAAAUCUGGACCUAAUAAACAAACAAAUCCCUUAAAUUAGACAUUAUAAUUGUAUUCACUGAAAUGAGUUUACCUGUAUUUUUUAAAAGAAAUGGAAUCACUGCUCUAAAAACUAAUUUUUUCUUUUCUUUUCUUUUCUUUCUUUUUUUUUUUUUUUUUUUUUUUUGCCACAAGGUAGCAAGCUUCAAAAAGCACUUAGGUAGUAGAGUGGAUAGGACACUAGAUAUGGAGUCUAAAAAACUUGAGUUCAAAUACAGUCUUAGACAGUCACUAACUAGCUGUGUGGCCCUAAGAUCACUUAAUCCUGUUUGCCUGAGUUUCCACAUCUGUAAAAUGAUCAGAGAAAGGAAAAGCAAGGCACUCCAGUAUCUUUACAAAAAACCCAAAACUGAACCAAACCCAAAUGGGGUAACAAAGAGUCGAAGAUGACUCAAACAACUAAACAACAACAGCACACUUCAAAAGAACAGAGGAAGAAAUGACCUGUCUCUUUGAACAUAUAAGGGAUAUAAUUCAGGGUAUCAAAGUGAGCUCCAAAUGUAAUCAAUAAACCAAAAAAAAAAUCAUCAGAUGAGGCAAUUUUCUGCUUCUAUUGAACAGGGGGGAAAAAUUAUUUAACUUUUUUUUUCUGUUUUGCCAAACCAUUUUUUAAAGAUAAAAGCAAAAUAAGUGAAUCAAAACUCUUGAAUAUCUAUAAGUCACCACCUCUUCUUGUCCCAGUCAGGUUUCAGAAUUCCAAGAAAAAAAAGUGAGGGAAGGCCAGUCAAAGUUAAGAACGAACAUGUAGGUGUCGCUUGUAAAUCCAAAGUGAAAAACUGUAGAGUUACUUUUUGCCUUACCUGUUCGUUGUAUGUCAUCUCUUCUCUCAGUUGAUUCUAACUGGAUUCCAGUGAACGAAAAUUCUUCUUUGCAGAAUUUUUUCCCCACAUCUGUGAAAUUACAAUGUUUAAUCUUAAUAUUAAAACCUUUCAGUGCAAAAGACUAAAUUCAACUCAGAAUUGGGUAGGAAUAUUAUCUUAUUCAACAAAGAUAAGAAACAGGCCCUAAAAAUGCCAUCUUAUAUACUUUAUAUCUCUUCUAUAUGAGUACUGGAUCAAAAUGAAUGGCUAAAAGUAAAUACUAAGACUGUGAGGAUCUUGGUUGGUUGACUCAGAUUUGGCAAAGGCAGAGGGGAAGAGAUGGUUUUGCAUCUAGUUUGGAAUGUUGUGGCAACUUGGAAAGAGUUGGGUCUCUAAGGAAGAAGCCACCACAUGUUAGAACAGAAGUCACUGGGUUUGGCAGAGAACGGAAUGAGGGAAUAACAAUAAGCAGCACUACUUUCUGUCAUGAUUGAGACAUGCUGGCCAGCAAACACCGUGUGUGAUCUCUUUCUCUUCCAAAACUGAUCUAAUCAAGAGUUGCCCUUUCAAGUCAGUUUUAAACAUAUUCCAAAGAAUUCUCCCUCUCCAAUGGCUCCUCCUCAUCUGCCUACAGAUAUACUUAGCUCUCCCCAAAACUAAAAAAAAACAACAACCCAUUUUUUUAACCUUCUGCCCCAUCAAACUACCUCCUCCUCUGCCCUAUCCUUCACUACUGAACUUGUUGAGUAGUUCUCCUUAAAUGACGCAUCCUUUUCUCUUUUCAAAUCUCUGAGACUGAGACUCUGCUGAUUUACUGAAGUGUCCCAUAAGACUCAAGGUCUUCAUCUGGGUCUGGAAACAUUAAAAAAAAUUGGUAUUUGUAUUUCAAUUCAACUAGUUUCCUUUGUAAUUCUAAGUAUUUCACUUAGCAUUUUUAAUUCUUACCAUGUUUUCAAAAAGGCUAACUCCAAUGCCAAUUCCUCCAUGAACUUUCCUAAUCCCCUUUUAUAGUAGAGAUUCCCAAUCCCCUUGUAUAGUAGAGACCUUUUCCACUUGAAAGUCAGAGAGCAUGAUGAAUUGUGCCACUUAUCUAUUAUUCUGUAUGAGGGUUGUUUGCUUCUUACUACAGUAUAAAACUAGAAACUCCAUGAGGUAGGAUUGUGUCAUAUUUAUGUUUUGUAUCUAAUCUCACCCAACAUUUAUCACAUUACAUACUAUAAUUAUUUAAUAAACAUUUGCCCAAUUUACUGAUAUUUAAAGUACUAAAGUUAAUUUUCACUUUUAAUUGAAUUUAAAAACAAUUAUUUUCUGUUAUUCCAAAACAAACUAAUUUUCUAAAUAAUUAGAAGAGGGGAGAUUGGGUGGAAGACCCUCAAGCUCCCAUUUUGAAUUCAUAAAGAUCACGAACUGGUCAUGGGAUUAUAGAUCUGAUCAUGAAAUGGAUCCCAGAGGCCAUCUUACCUAAUCUUUCACUUAGGAAAUGGAGGCCAGGGAUGUGGCUUGCCCAGGGCCAGAUGGCAGUUUUGAGACUUAUUAAUUUUGUAAUUCUGGCUUCCCUUCUCUCUUAGCCAUGGUUUUCUCAUCUGCAAAAUGCACUCAAUCCUUCAGAAAACAGAUGUAAAGAAAUGGAUGCAAUUACAAUUGCUUGUGUAAGGAAAAGAUCACUAAGUGUCAGAGGUAGAAUUUGAACACAAGGCUUUCUGAUAAUGGCCAGCAAUGAGAGCUGGGUGGAGUUAGGAAGACUCACCUUCCUAAAUUCAAAUUUACCUAAGACAGAUUACUCUGUGAUCCAGGUAAAGUCACUUAACCCUUUUUGUCUCAGUUUUCUCAUCUGCAAAAUGAGAUAGAGAAGCAAAUGGCAAACCACUUCAGAUCUUUGCCAAGAAAACCCCAAGUGGGUCAUGAAAAGUCAGACAUGACUGAACAACAAUUUCCUGAUUACAAGUCUAACACACAAUCCACCAUAUAAAGGGCACAUUUUUUUAGCUGUUCAAAUCAUAGCUUUAUUUAAAAUUUUACUAUAAACUUAGUAUUAUUAUUAAUAAUAAAUACUAUUUAUUUAAAAUAAAUAACAUAAACAAAAUAAAGAUUAAGAACUUAUAGAAAACCUCAAUAAGUUCCAACUCAUCAAUCAAUCAAUAAGCAUUGAUUAUGCAGCACUAUGUGCCAGGCCCUGUGCUUGGUGCUAGGAAUAAGAAUACAGCCCCUGCCAUCAGGGAGCUCACAUUCUAUAGGAUAAAACAACUUGUACAUAUACACAUACAUGUGCACACUUAUGCAGGCGUAGGUAUUUUUUAUUGUCUACAGAGAUAAAUCUAGAUGAAUAUAAGAUGGUUAUUAGAUGGUAGGAAAGGUAGUCAUUUAGUAGUUGUAUGGUGUGCACACAUGUGUAUAUGUGUAUGUAUGCACCUUCCAGUGUAGCAUAAAGAGCACAGACUGUUGAACCAGAGACCUUCUAUUCACAUCCUUUUGCAUAUAUCCACCUUGUGAUUUUGGUCAACCACUAAAGUUCUCAGGAUCUCAGUUUUCUCACCGGUAAAAUGUAGGGGUUAGUUAGACUAAAUCACUUCUAAGGUCCCAUAAUUUCCAUGAGAACAAGUCAGGAGAGUGCUUUUAUUCUGUGCCCUCUAGAUGGUUGUCUCUAAUGUCCUUCCCCUGCUUGCUCACCUGCCUGUCUGCCUGCAUUCCUGUAUCUGUAGUCAGUGCAACAUAGUUUUAUAAUGGGAGCUGGAAGAGAACAAAUACAAUGUUCUUUUCUAAUAGAUGUUCCCUAUGUUGUAAGAGUAUUAAGCAGUUAUAAUUUAAAGGGACUAUAAUGAAAAUGAGAAUUAACAUUCUUAUUCCUCCACAUUUGUCUGACAACCUGAAUGGUCAUUCCCAAUAAUGACCUGUACUUACCUGGUUUGCUUUCCAAAGCCAACAGGAAGAUCUGCUUCCUGCAGUACAUUUGGUUAGGAUUUAAAUGUUCUGGCUUGCUCAGAAGGCAGUUAUAGAAUUACUAAUUGCACAAUGAACUCUUUCAAAAUCUCCGACAUUAAAAAAUAGGUUAAAAAAGGGUUGUACUUGACUUUGCAAUCUUUAACACACAUACAUAGUGUUAGACAUAUUCUUUAUAUGGUCUAUCUAACUAUUAGCAGCCUGCUUUCCUCCCUAAGCACACAAAGAACAUGCACAGUGUUUAUUCUUAGUUUGCCAGGAACCAUCAUCAUUUUCCUUGACCAACAAAUUACAAGACUGCUUUAUUUUGCCAGAAAGACAAUCUGAAUGAAUUCUAUAAGCUAAAUACUUUUGGUUUGACUGAUCAAAAAAUAAAUUAUUAAGUAGGGAUGCACAAUGGACUUUGCAUUCAAAAUAGUUACUUAAGAAGUAAAGUAACUUAAUUUAAUGAUGACCUAACAUCCAAAAAAAGAUUUUGGGUUUUCACCAUAGGAAACAAAGAAGGCAGUGUUAGAAAUUAAAAACAGAUCCAGGCCCAGGAUAACCUGAACUUUGGGGCUUUUGAUGAUAUUAUGAUUCAAUGGAAUAGACAAAGAACCUUAGGAAGUCAGAAAGAAAUAUACUUUGUUAAUUUUUUACAUAAGACGCUCAUUGAGGACAUUGUUCUCUGAUCACCUUGAAGAGCCAAACAAUGGAACUUUGGAUUGGAUCUCCCUAGAGAAGGAAUGGAUACUCCCCUUCUUCUAGAUGGUGGGUUUUAGUGACUGAGACUACUCUCAGGAUGAAAUAAAUGGUUAGCUCAGACUAUAGAAGAGACAGACCCUUGGAGUUAUUCCUUUACUUUGGCCUAAAAAGGAAUCUUCCUCUCAAUAGAGCUCAAGGUUCUAUUCCAUCCCAUUCCCCUCUUUCUUGCUAUCUUCCAUUUGCUUUUCUUCUAGAGUAAUAAUGAAAGCAGGGGUAGUAGGGGGGAUUAUACCUCAAAGAGAAAUUAUUUGUCAGUGUCAGGGAGCUCUGGGAUCUGGCCUAGUUGGCAGAAAUAACAACUUACCUAAAGAGUUUGAUGCAAGAAUUUCACCUUCCAG